rnacentral:lncRNA from 1 species
UUGGAGAGAAGCAAAUUUAGAAAAAAAUUCUUUCCUGAAAGGCUUUGUGGCAUUUGGAGGAGGGGCACAUCAAUGCCCAGGCAGAGUUCUCUUCACUUGGUGGGGACACAGCAGCCUGUAGGAUCAUGCCGAAUUUGGUAUAAAUUGAGAGCAUAAAAACGAUCAUUGAUGCCCAUAAGAAUAUUGACUAACUGCACUUUG